GGCGCAGCUUACCAUGCAGUCGAGCGGUAACAGGGGGUGCUUGCACCCCGCUGACGAGCGGCGGACGGGUGAGUAAUGCAUAGGAAUCUGCCCAGUAGUGGGGGAUAGCCCGGGGAAACCCGGAUUAAUACCGCAUACGCCCUUUGGGGGAAAGCAGGGGAUCUUCGGACCUUGCGCUAUUGGAUGAGCCUAUGUCGGAUUAGCUAGUUGGUGGGGUAAAGGCCUACCAAGGCGACGAUCCGUAGCUGGUCUGAGAGGAUGAUCAGCCACAUCGGGACUGAGACACGGCCCGAACUCCUACGGGAGGCAGCAGUGGGGAAUAUUGGACAAUGGGGGCAACCCUGAUCCAGCCAUGCCGCGUGUGUGAAGAAGGCUUUCGGGUUGUAAAGCACUUUCAGUGAGGAGGAAAACCUUCUGGUUAAUACCCAUGAGGCUUGACGUUACUCACAGAAGAAGCACCGGCUAACUCCGUGCCAGCAGCCGCGGUAAUACGGAGGGUGCAAGCGUUAAUCGGAAUUACUGGGCGUAAAGCGCGCGUAGGUGGUUUGAUAAGCGAGAUGUGAAAGCCCCGGGCUUAACCUGGGAACGGCAUUUCGAAC
rnacentral:rRNA from 1 species